CGGCCGGGGGCUGCGAUCCCCCGACACGGAUGCAGGCGGGGGCAGCGUUUACUGGGCGCCUGCUCGGUGCCAGGCACGGCUCAAGAAACACUGCUUAUCCUGAAUGGAUCAAAUACUGGAUAUUCUAGACCGUCUCCCUGUUCUUUGAGACCUCAGGCUUGUCUGCACCUCCAGCCUCAGCCCCAGCUCUCCCCGCUCCUGAGCGCCCUCCCUCCCGCGUAUGUGAGCUGCUCCCUCCACUCCAAAGGUUCCUCCUCAGAUAAAAGUAGGCGCUCUCCUGCCAA